rnacentral:rRNA from 1 species
UACGUAGGGGGCGAGCGUUAUCCGGAAUUACUGGGCGUAAAGCGCACGCAGGCGGUUCGCCAAGUUUGGAGUGACAGUUGUCGGCUCAACCGACAAAGGACUUCAAAAACUGGUGAACUUGAGGACGAGAGAGGAACAUGGAACUCCAGGUGUAGUAGUGAAAUGCGUAGAUAUCUGGAAGAACACCAAUGGCGAAGGCAAUGUUCUGGCUCGUUUCUGACGCUCAGGUGCGAAAGCCAGGGGAGCGAACAGG